UUUAAUCUGAAAAACCCUGACUUGGAGGAAACCGGAAGUCUCGUUGCUUCACUGUGAUCUCGGGCUGGCGGUGGGAUAGUUGUGUUGUUUAUUAGUGAGUUUUAAACAUAGACAGUAUAAGAACGGUUUUAAGAAGACAGAGCUCCAGAGUGAGUCCAGCAGCCCCAGUGGACAUCUGCUGGAUUUCAGGACAAGAGAGAAAUGGAGGAGGACAACCAGAACCAGGAGCAGCGGAGCAACAAGGUCCCCAGAAGACCAGCAGCAGACUGGGACUCUGAUACCAGCCAUGUUCAGGAGCCCUCAGCAGACGUCAAGCUGGCGACCGGAGCAGGAAAGAAGGGCAAGAAGGCAGAGGAGGAGGAGCAGCCUGCAGCACCUCCUGCAGCAGCAGUGAAGGAGGAGGAGGAGGAGGACGAGGAGCA